AGAUUUUUGAAUUUAUAAUUAAUUUGAGGUAGUGAAUUUAAUUUCAUGUAUUUAGGGGUUUUUUUAGUUUUUUUAAUUGAAUGAAACAGCUUUCAAGAGUAUAAUAAUUAAAUACUUUGAAUUCGAUUUUGCGACACUAAUAGGGUUUAGCUAAAAUGUUUAGUAUUUAAUCAAGACCUAAGUUAACAACCAAAACCGUAAUGAAGGGAGCACUUAUUUGUUUUCUUUUAAAAGAAAAUAUUCCUUUAAUCAUAAUAAUCUGGACAAAUAAAUAAAGGAAAUAUAAAUUAAAAAAAACAAUGAUUAAAUUAAAGCUAGGAAAAUAAUAAUCAUAAAAAUAAAAAAAAAGUAAAUCAAGAAAACAGGGGUGCAGAAGUGAAAUAAGAGGUUGAAGCCCAUAUGAAAAAUCGUGAGGCCCAAAGCUUUAUUUCCUCUACCAGAUUGGAUAGGUCCGGAAGCCCAAAGAUCUCUUAUGCUACCCGAUCCACAGGCGGACUCACCAGGGAAACACGUGGCCAUGAUUCAAUGUAUUUCCACUACCACAUGGCAGAAUGAUAAGUAUACCAGCUUUGGAAACUGGCACAGGUGACAGCUAGCUACCCUAUGCUACUUGAAAAGAUGAGAACGCGGUCACGAGGCAACGGUUAGAUGCAUCCUUUCACUUUCAAAAUAAAAUAUAGUUUAACAAUGUAAAAUGGUCACCUUAGACUUUCUAAUAAGAAGUCCUGGGAUGCGUCUUCCAUCUUCGGCAUCACCGGCGCGACGGUGGGGAAACCGACAAUGGCGCCGCCGUCAGCCUAAAACAUCGACCUAAUAAACACCCUUCUCUUCUCCCCUGUCUAAAACCUACUUAAAUCUCAAAUAAUGGUGAUACUUAACCGGACUUGAAUCAUGUCGUAUAUUCUACUAACGAAAACCAGAAUCCGACCAAUGGUCGAUGAUUCAGCGAAACAAAAAAAACAGGUUUAAACCAAGUUAAAGAGCCUUGGAUCCAGCUCAAUCAACGACAACAAGUUAAGCAACAAGAUAUUCGAUGGUCACUACGAAGACAUUUAAAGGAAAAGAGAAUCUACCAACUUCCAGGAGGUCAAGCUCUUCAAGCCCUGAUUUUCGAUAUAAAAGUGAGAGUUGAAACAAAGGACUGAUUGAGCUUUAAUGGGGGUUUUCGAUUUGAAUUUCGGUCAGCAUUUAUGCAGAGUAACAACAGGAUUUUUUCCUCUUUUCUUACAAUGAUUGGUGGCCUUUAUAUAGAGCCUUUGGGUACCAGGUUUCUUUCCUCUUCACCCCCUAUGAGCUGGCGAGCGGAUCAAGAUUUUUCCGUUAGGGAAAAUCUCUCACAGAUUCUGCGUGGUCCUCCAAACGGAAGUGGUCCCAAAAUGAAAAUAUUAAACAUUUGGUUUUGUCUGUAGCGAAAGCUUCAAAAAUGUGACCCAUCCCACUGACUCCUUCAUUAAACCUUCACUGCACUAAAAUGUAUGCUUGCUGUGGUAAGAAAACUUGAUUUUUACUGUUAUGUAAUUUCAUCCUCAAACCCCUUACGACCCUUAACUAUUCCUUAUUUUGCAAGUGUGGUCUUCUUUUUCUGUCAACUGAUAUGACAGGGCGUUUCCUCACAACUUCCAGAAUUUUAAGCUUCUCUUGGUUUAUGCAGCUAACAUGAUGUUACUGCACUCGUAUUAAGCUGCUAUGCAGUCCAUGCCGGUCUGUUGUGGAAUGGAUAAAACAUUUCCAGGAUAUGGUUAUGGAUACUGAGGCGAAUGCCAGAGCAUGGUUGAUGAAGAGUGUGUACCAACUCGGGUGUGGUUGUUUUCUUAAGGCUACGUUUCUGUUGUCUAUUCGUAUGAUAAUUGUGUCUGCACUUUGACCACUGCAACAUUUGAUUUCCGUUUGGACGUUGCUUGGUAUCGUGGCUCCUUGUGUUGUCGUGUUAUGCCGAUGCUUAUGUUGCUCACGUUCCAAUUUGAUGGCCAUUGGUUUGCAGGACAUGUGAUUGGUGACUUAGCAUGAAGGUAAUAGAUGUCAUUUUGCAGGUGAGACGGUAAAGUUAUCAAUUACGACAACAUGUUAUUCUAUGGCAACAACAACCACUUCAACGUCAAACUUGGCAUAAAUACAUGGCAAAACUCCUACCAUGAGCACGGCCAUCAAUGCGACAUAACGGAGCAGCAUGAAAAUGAUCCUCAUCAUGUUACGAUAUAACAGGACUGCAUGAUCAAGGCUUCAUGGCUUAAUGUCAUCCUUGGGGUUUUCCAAUAAUUCUUGAAGUAUAUUAUGGCAAUUCCUUCCAAUGCCCAAGAGUAAUUAAACUCUAAAGGUUUCCAUAUGUUCCUUAAAUAUUCCUGAAGUCAACACAUUCCAUUUCUUUGCAAAAAUCUGCAGAAGGAGAAUCCCACAAAACACAUCACUUCAAAGGUUGAACAUCACUUUGUCGGAAUUGGAAGUAUCAUGAAGAGCAACUCUCAUCCACCACCAAUAUCACCGGCUUCACUACUGCCAUGUCAAGCCUCGCCUCUUCAAAGCUUCAGCGAUAGUACAAAGGUGCAGCAAUUCCUCUAGCAAAUUCAAUGGCUAACAAUCAUCCCGAAUACGAAUCAUUGUUGUAGGCGGUGAUGGUGAUAACGUCACCAUGUGAGACUCCAAGAUGGAGAAGGCCGUGUGCUAGUAAUGUUACUUCCUCCACAGACUGUUGCCUGGUUUUGUGGUGGUUUCCAGAAAUGGUUUGUGCUUUGAGGUUUCACCGGUCGGGUAUAGCUGGCCUAAAUCAGUUCUGGUUACUUUGUCUUUGGUGUAAUAAGAUACCUGUAUUUAUGUACUAUCUAGUGGCUGUUUGUUUCGGUGAUGUAAAGUCAUUUCUUCUGUCGGAUGUAUUAUUCAUUGGUUUAUAUUAAUCCUGUAACUGCACCAUGGUCUGUCAUGUGUUGUUGAUCAAAAUAAUGGUUUGCAGGUUGUACUGUAGGUCGGUAAAUGCAGACUGUAAUUCGGUUUGUGAACAUAUUUUGGAAAUGUGUUGUCUCUUGGUUCACGUCUUCAUGGUGUGGGAUUAUAAGUUAUGGCUAAUGUAAGUUUGCUUAUGAUGGUGUUAUUCAUGUGUACUUAGA